rnacentral:rRNA from 1 species
UACGAAGGGGGCUAGCGUUGCUCGGAAUCACUGGGCGUAAAGGGAGCGUAGGCGGACAUUUAAGUCAGAGGUGAAAUCCCGGAGCUUAACUUCGGAACUGCCUUUGAUACUGGGUGUCUUGAGUGUGAGAGAGGUAUGUGGAACUCCGAGUGUAGAGGUGAAAUUCGUAGAUAUUCGGAAGAACACCAGUGGCGAAGGCGACAUACUGGCUCAUUACUGACGCUGGAGGCUCGAAAGCGUGGGGAGCAAACAGG